AUCAAAAACAUGUCUUUAAGAUAAAAAUUUAAAGUCUGGUCUGCCCUAUGAAAAUUUAAAUGGCUGCGGGAAAUUAUUUACUGUACUAAGGUAGCAUAAUAAAUUGUUUAUUAAUUGUAAACUAGAAUGAAUGAUUUGAUAAAAUAUUUACUGUUUCUUUUUAAUUUAAGUAAAAUUUAAUUUUUAAGUGAAAAAGCUUAAAUGAGAUUAGGGGACGAGAAGACCCUGUAGAUUUUUAUAAAUAUUAGUGGGGUAACUUUAUUUAAUAAUUUAUGUCAUUUGUAUUUAAUUUAAUGGGGAAUUAAUAAAAUUAUAUAAUUUUUAUAGUUUUUUACAAAUAUAAUUGAUUUAGUGAGAAUUUAAUAAUGAAGAAAAAAAUACCUCAGGGAUAACAGCAUAAUAUUUUUAUUAAGAUCAAAUUUUUAAAAAUGAUUGUGACCUC
rnacentral:rRNA from 1 species